rnacentral:rRNA from 1 species
UACAGAGGGUGCAAGCGUUGUUCGGAAUCACUGGGCGUAAAGGGCGUGUAGGCGGUCAGGUAAGUGGGAUGUGAAAUGCCCCGGCUCACCCGGGGACCGGCAUCCCAUACUGCUUGGCUUGAGUACGGGAGAGGAUGUGGGAAUUCCUGGUGUAGCGGUGAAAUGCGUAGAUAUCAGGAGGAACACCGGUGGCGAAGGCGCACAUCUGGCCCGAUACUGACGCUGAGGCGCGAAAGCUAGGGGAGCAAACGGG